UACUACGUGUUCAAGCGUUAAUCGGAAUUACUGGGCGUAAAGCGCGCGUAGGUGGUUCGUUAAGUUGGAUGUGAAAGCCCCGGGCUCAACCUGGGAACUGCAUCCAAAACUGGCAAGCUAGAGUAUGGCAGAGGGUGGUGGAAUUUCCUGUGUAGCGGUGAAAUGCGUAGAUAUAGGAAGGAACACCAGUGGCGAAGGCGACCACCUGGGAUAAUACUGACACUGAGGGGCGAAAGCGUGGGGAGCCAACAGGAUUAGAUACC
rnacentral:rRNA from 1 species